CCCAGCCUCGCCUCGGGUGUAGGGAUUGCAUAGAAAAGCAAAACUACACAGUCUUGACUGUGUAGUUUUGUUUUUAGGAUUAGAGGCUCACCGAUUCAUGUCGGAGAUGGUCAGAAAAACCAACUCUCCAUAGGACGUCGUUUCAGAAGCAACCUUGGGCUUAGUCCCACCCUUUUUAGGCACUCUUGAGAAAUCAGAGUGCCUAGAAAGAUGACAACUCAAGCACCGACGUUUACGCAGCCGUUACAAAGCGUUGUGGUACUGGAGGGUAGUACCGCAACCUUUGAGGCUCACAUUAGUGGUUUUCCAGUUCCUGAGGUGAGCUGGUUUAGGGAUGGCCAGGUGAUUUCCACUUCCACUCUGCCCGGCGUGCAGAUCUCCUUUAGCGAUGGCCGCGCUAAACUGACGAUCCCCGCCGUGACUAAAGCCAACAGUGGACGAUAUUCCCUGAAAGCCACCAAUGGAUCUGGACAAGCGACUAGUACUGCUGAGCUUCUCGUGAAAGCUGAGACAGCACCACCCAACUUCGUUCAACGACUGCAGAGCAUGACCGUGAGACAAGGAAGCCAAGUGAGACUCCAAGUGAGAGUGACUGGAAUCCCUACACCUGUGGUGAAGUUCUACCGGGAUGGAGCCGAAAUCCAGAGCUCCCUUGAUUUCCAAAUUUCACAAGAAGGCGACCUCUACAGCUUACUGAUUGCAGAAGCAUACCCUGAAGACUCAGGGACCUAUUCAGUAAAUGCCACCAAUAGCGUUGGAAGAGCUACUUCGACUGCUGAAUUACUGGUUCAAGGUGAAGAAGAAGUACCUGCUAAAAAGACAAAGACAAUUGUUUCGACUGCUCAGAUCUCAGAAUCAAGACAAACCCGAAUUGAAAAGAAGAUUGAAGCCCACUUUGAUGCCAGAUCAAUUGCAACAGUUGAGAUGGUCAUAGAUGGUGCCGCUGGGCAACAGCUGCCACAUAAAACACCUCCCAGGAUUCCUCCGAAGCCAAAGUCAAGAUCCCCAACGCCACCGUCUAUUGCUGCCAAAGCACAGCUGACUCGGCAGCAGUCCCCAUCGCCCAUAAGACACUCCCCUUCCCCGGUCAGACACGUGCGGGCACCGACCCCAUCUCCGGUCAGGUAAAGCUGCCAUAGAGAGAGCAGGUUAUUGCACAUUUUGGAACUAGGUUUUGAAACGAGAAAGAUUCCCUUGUCCCCCUCGCAGGGCAUGCGACACGGAGAGUGGUUCGCUUCUUCAGUGUCCCGCUGCUCAAACCUCUAGGGGAGCAUACAAACGGGCAGGUUGUGGGGCUCCAUGUUCCUCUGGACAUCCAGCCGCUUGUGUGUCUGCCUACUAGGGUCUCAGGGGUUUUUAUAGGCAUAGGGUGUGGGCGUGGCAGGUCAGGGUGAUCUUGGGAAAUGCAACAUUUGGGCGGGAAGGCAGGAGUGUUUGUCCUCACCUAGGUCCAUGGGCACAGGCCUCGCUAGGGACCACGCCCUUCUCUUCCCAGCACUUCCCUGCCCUCCUCCCGUGUAAGUUUCAUGCAAUCAAAAAUGUAGCAGGUGACAAAGGAGGUAAACCAAGAAGUUACUGAAUAUGAUUUUCACAAAUCCUCACUGUCCACAGGUAAAUUGAAGACCCUUAUAAACUUCUGAAUUCUUAUUUAUAUUUCAUGUAAUAAAUAUCUACUUUAGGGGCCAAAAUAUGGCACAGUGAAAGGAGAAGAGCACAGAAGUUAGAGUUGAAAGCCCUAAGGACAAAUCAGCCUGAUCACUUGACAGUUUGAUUUAGGGCAAUAAGUAUAAAUAAUAAAAUAAUUGUUAUUAUAUAUGGAUCACUUCCUCUAUCAGAUUGGAACUAUACAUACAUUAUCUCAUUAAAUGUUCACAACCUGUAAGAAUUAUUAUCCUCAAUGUUAUUGAUAGGUAACUGGAAUUAAAGAAGUUAAGCAGUUUAUUUAAGGUUUCAGUUGUGUCAUCUGUAAAUUAAAGAGAGUCACAAUAAGAAUGAUCUCAAGCUGCAUUUUGGGGCUUCAAUGAGAUAAUUAGUUGAAAGUGCCUUGUAAAUAGAAAAUAAUUAUGCCAAUAUUCUUAUAUUCAGAUGGUAAGUAAAACCUUUUAAAUAUUUUGCA
rnacentral:sRNA from 1 species